UACAGAGGGUGCGAGCGUUAAUCGGAAUUACUGGGCGUAAAGCGCGCGUAGGCGGCUUUGCAAGUCGGGUGUGAAAUCCCCAGGCUCAACCUGGGAACUGCAUUCGAGACUGCAUUGCUAGAGUAUGGGAGAGGGAAGUGGAAUUCCUGGUGUAGCGGUGAAAUGCGCAGAUAUCAGGAGGAACACCAAUGGCGAAGGCAGCUCGCUGGGACGGUACUGACGCUGAGGCGCGAAAGCGUGGGGAGCAAACAGG
rnacentral:rRNA from 1 species